rnacentral:rRNA from 1 species
GCUUGUCUCAAAGAUUAAGCCAUGCAUGUCUUAGUGUAAAUAACUCUUAUGAAACUGCGAAUGGCUCAUUAAAUCAGUUAUCGUUUAUUUGAUGGUCGCUUUCUACAUGGAUAACGUGGGUAAUCCUCAUGCUAAUACAUGCGUCAAGCCCCAACUUUUUGGAAGGGUCGUGUUUAUUAGGUACAGAACCAACUCAAGCUCUGCUUGAUUCUUUGGUGAAUCAUGAUAACUGAAUGAAUUGCAUGCUUCGGCGGCAAUAUGUCAUUCAAGUUUCUGACCUAUCAGCUUCCGACGGUAGGGUAUUGGCCUACCGUGGCAAUGACGGGUAACGGAGAAUUAGGGUUCGAUUCCGGAGAGGGAGCCUGAGAAACGGCUACCACAUCUAAGGAAGGCAGCAGG